GAGUGCUUAGAAGAACCUUAUGGCGGGACCUCAGGCUUCGACAUCUGUCCAGCUGCAUCGAUACCUUCCAUUAAACCAGUCCGCACAGAAUCUCCCCCUAAUUUUAUAGUCAACACUCAACAAACGUGUACGUCGGCUUAGAUAUUUUCUUCUCUCUCUCCACACACGACGGUGGUUUUUUUAAUCGAAAACAAAUACUUGACUGAUGAUCCUUCACGCUGAGCGCACUGUAUUCGAAUCGUUUCCGUACGCUUGCCCUAGAUCUUAUUCAUGGCCUCUUCAUGUAUAAUGCGCAUCUUCGAACGAUAUUGAAGUUUUUCUCUGGUUUUUUAAACGACGAUGCACGACUCUUGCUUUCUUCGUUUCUAGCUGAUUUAUGUGCUUCAAAUUUGAUGUAUUUUCUCGCCUUUGUUUUUCAUGCAGUUUGCAGUUUUUUCUCUCCGUGACUCGCUGUACGGUAGACAUUUUCGACGAUGAAUCUGUGAAACUGUUUUCAGGAGGUGACCUCAUACAGGGUUUAAGACCAUUCUUUGGGCCCAUGAUAACUUAGUAGUUAGAGUCAAGUUGUAAUUUAAUACUGAAAGCUGUGCUGUAAAGUGAUUCUAUAAUAUUGAAAAAAUGAUUAGUGUUUUCUUUAGAAUUGUGAUGUGAAAUAUUGACAUAGACAAAUCCUACCUGUACCUUAGGUUGAACAGUCAGUGGCAAAUGUUAACUUUUUUUAUGAAUAAAGAAUUUGUUUAAUAAUAUAGUUAUAGAUUCCAUUUA